rnacentral:rRNA from 1 species
UGGGGAAUCUUGCGCAAUGGGCGAAAGCCUGACGCAGCAACGCCGCGUGCGGGAUGACGGCCUUCGGGUUGUAAACCGCUUUCAGUGGGGACGAAACAAGACGGUACCCACAGAAGAAGCCCCGGCCAACUACGUGCCAGCAGCCGCGGUAACACGUAGGGGGCGAGCGUUGUCCGGAAUCAUUGGGCGUAAAGAGCUCGUAGGCGGCUCAGUAAGUCGGGUGUGAAACCCCCAGGCUCAACCUGGGGACGCCACCCGAUACUGCUGUGGCUAGAGUCCAGUAGGGGAGUGUGGAAUUCCCGGUGUAGCGGUGAAAUGCGCAGAUAUCGGGAGGAACACCAGCGGCGAAGGCGGCACUCUGGGCUGGAACUGACGCUGAGGAGCGAAAGCGUGGGUAGCAAACAGG